GAUGAACGCUGGCGGCGUGCCUAAUACAUGCAAGUCGAGCGAACGGACGAGAAGCUUGCUUCUCUGAUGUUAGCGGCGGACGGGUGAGUAACACGUGGAUAACCUACCUAUAAGACUGGGAUAACUUCGGGAAACCGGAGCUAAUACCGGAUAAUAUUUUGAACCGCAUGGUUCAAAAGUGAAAGACGGUCUUGCUGUCUCUUAUAGAUGGAUCCGCGCUGCAUUAGCUAGUUGGUAAGGUAACGGCUCACCAAGGCAACGAUGCAUAGCCGACCUGAGAGGGUGAUCGGCCACACUGGAACUGAGACACGGUCCAGACUCCUACGGGAGGCAGCAGUAGGGAAUCUUCCACAAUGGGCGAAAGCCUGACGGAGCAACGCCGCGUGAGUGAUGAAGGUCUUCGGAUCGUAAAACUCUGUUAUUAGGGAAGAACAUAUGUGUAAGUAACUGUGCACAUCUUGACGGUACCUAAUCAGAAAGCCACGGCUAACUACGUG
rnacentral:rRNA from 1 species